rnacentral:rRNA from 1 species
AUUGAACGCUGGCGGCAGGCCUAACACAUGCAAGUCGAACGGUAACAGGAAACAGCUUGCUGUUUCGCUGACGAGUGGCUGACGGGUGAGUAAUGUCUGGGAAACUGCCUGAUGGAGGGGGAUAACUACUGGAAACGGUAGCUAAUACCGCAUAACGUCGCAAGACCAAAGAGGGGGACCUUCGGGCCUCUUGCCAUCGGAUGUGCCCAGAUGGGAUUAGUUAGUAGGUGGGGUAACGGCUCACCUAGGCGACGAUCCCUAGCUGGUCUGAGAGGAUGACCAGCCACACUGGAACUGAGACACGGUCCAGACUCCUACGGGAGGCAGCAGUGGGGAAUAUUGCACAAUGGGCGCAAGCCUGAUGCAGCCAUGCCGCGUGUAUGAAGAAGGCCUUCGGGUUGUAAAGUACUUUCAGCGGGGAGGAAGGGAGUAAAGUUAAUACCUUUACUCAUUGACGUUACCCGCAGAAGAAGCACCGGCUAACUCCGUG